GAUGAACGCUGGCGGCGUGCCUAAUACAUGCAAGUCGAACGCUGGAGAUCUAGCUUGCUAGAUCGAAGGAGUGGCGAACGGGUGAGUAAUACAUAAGCAACCUACCCACGAAGACUGGGAUAAUCUCUGGAAACGGGGACUAAUACCGGAUAGGUAAUCGGAAGGCAUCUUCUGGUUAUUAAAGGUUAAAAACACUGGUGGAUGGGCUUAUGGCGCAUUAGUUAGUUGGUGAGGUAACGGCCCACCAAGACGAUGAUGCGUAGCCGGCCUGAGAGGGUGAACGGCCACAUUGGGACUGAGACACGGCCCAGACGCCUACGGGAGGCAGCAGUAGGGAAUUUUCGGCAAUGGGGGCAACCCUGACCGAGCAACGCCGCGUGAGUGAAGACGGCCUUCGGGUUGUAAAGCUCUGUUGUAAGGGAAGAACGGUAGAUAGAGAAUAUCUAAGUGACGGUACCUGACCAGAAAGCCACGGCUAACUACGUG
rnacentral:rRNA from 1 species